UAGGGAAUAUUGGUCAAUGGGCGCAAGCCUGAACCAGCCAUGCCGCGUGCAGGAUGAAGGCUCUACGAGUUGUAAACUGCUUUUGUACAGGAACAAAAAAGCCCCUGCGGGGGUUCUUGAGUGUACUGUAAGAAUAAGCACCGGCUAAUUCCGUG
rnacentral:rRNA from 1 species